AGCAAACCACAAUAACCAGAAUUCAUAGUGAUUUCAGGAAGUAGUACUACCCCAUGGAAGUGAGAAAUAUCAACAUGUCUGUGUUUGUAGCCAGCAUUGUCAUCCAGAGGAUUUCGAAACUGAACUGAUAGGGUUGCCAUGUCGUCGACUGUUAAAAAGGGAUUCUAUUCAAUCUAUUUUUACCCUUCACUUCAAAGAGGAAGGCAUCCAAUCAGCCAACAUCAGAGCAACAGAAAAUAAGUCAAGCUGAGAGUCAGAUCCCAUCAACAUCAAGCUCAGCACCAGGAAUUAGUAGACGCACAUAAAGCUGUCCCUUGCCCUCAAAGGCAAAUCUGACCGUAAUUAUAUCCUCCUGCUUACAAGCAGGAAGUACCAGUGACUCGCUUGAUACGGAAGUGAUCAGAUGACGCGGAUGCUACACUACAGGACUGUUUUACUAGCACAGACUGGAAUAUGUUCUGGGAUGCAUCCAAUGGCAUUGAGGAGUAUAGCACCUCAGUCACCUGCUUCAUCAAUAAGUUCAUCGACAACUUCGUCCCCACAGUGACCGUACGUACAUAUACCAACCAGAAGCCAUGGAUUACAGGCAACAACCGCAACGAGCUAAAGGCUAGAGCUGCUGCAUUCAAGGAGCUGGACACUAAUCCAGAUGCUUAUAAGAAAUCCCGCUAUACCCUUAGACAAACCAUCAAACAGGCAAAGCGUCAAUACAGGACUAAGAUUGAAUCCUACUCCACCGGCUCUGAUGCUCGUCGGAUGUGGCAGGGCUUGCAAACGAAGUCCACCUGGCCAUGCUGCUGUUCCAGUUUCAACUGACCUGAGCCCUAGGACCAUGCCCCAGGACUACCUGACAUGAUGACUCCUUGCUGUCCCCAGUCCACCUGGCCAUGCUGCUGCUCCAGUUUCAACUUCCACCUGACUGUGCUGCUGCUCCAGUUUCAACUGUUCUGCCUUAUUAUUAUUUGACCAUGCUGGUCAUUUAUGAACAUUUGAACAUCUUGGCCAUGUUCUGUUAUAAUCUCCACCCGGCACAGCCAGAAGAGGACUGG
ensembl:lncRNA